rnacentral:ncRNA from 1 species
GAGAAUUGGGUUAAUAUUCUCGAACCUGGUCAUGGUGGUGGACGACAAUGUUAGGAAAUCUGGAGAUGUCAUCGGGGGCUUGGGAAGAGUUAUAUUUUCUUUUUAACGAAUUUCCCACCCUGAAAUUGGUUCAACCAGAGAUAGGGUCCAACACCUGGAAGAGCACCACACGUCUUGCGGUGUUUGGUUCCCCCUCGAUGGCCAUUGAAAAUAUGGAUAACCAAGUACCAUCCAUGCCCAAUUGUACUCAUAUCUGUGUCC